AUAAUCAUUGUAUACUGUUUUUUUUUGAUAAAUAAGUUUAAAAUUUAAAACUAAAAUUUUAGAAUUAAAAAUUUAAAAUAUAUAUUUUAAAAUUAUAAGUUUAAUUUUUAAAUUAUAAAUUUUUAAAUUUUUUAAAUUUAAUUUCAAAAUUUUUAAUUCUAAGUAUAAAGUAGGAUAUAUUAAUAAUUAUAUAUUGAUUAUUGACGAUAUUUAGCUAUAACUGAUGCUAAUUUGUUACAUUUAGUGUCAUUUUUUAUAAAAUUCUGAAAACUUCAGCGGCAUUUACUAAUUUACGUUGCUAAUUUAUCCUAUUUUAUAAUAUUAAUAGUAAAUUACUGCUGAAUUAUUAAAUCUAGCGGCAAUUAUCAAGUAAUACUGCUAAAUAUAACGCUGCUAGUUUGUUUCAUUUAGUAUUAUUUUUUUACAAAAUGCUGAAAACUUCAGUGACAUUCAGUAAUUCACGCUGCUAAUUUAUCCUAUUUUACAAUAUUAAUGAUAAAUUACCGCUGAAUUAUUAAUUCUAACGCCAAUUAUCAAGUAAUGUGUAACAAACCU
rnacentral:lncRNA from 1 species